UAAUAUGAGUGCCAGCCACUGAAGGGAGCACAUCUCUUGAACCUGGGCUGCUCCUUGAGAAGGAGUGCUGCGUAGCUAGAGAGCCCCUUCACCAGUUGGGACAAAUGGAACUGGAUAGGAGCUGAACUGAAAGAAAAGAGUACAUCAGAGGAAAUGCAACAGGAGGAGCUAAGUCUCUGAACCAAGGAGAUAAGGAAGUUCUGCUGAGUCUUUGUACCAAGGAAACAGGAGGUCCUGUUUGGAAAUGUUCACUGAAUAUGUAAUGUACUCUGAGAAGCUUCUGCAUAUUUAACAUACCUCUUGGAAAACUUCGGCAUAUGUAGCAUAAGUAAUGCGUAUAAACUGAGGAUCUUUUUUGUAAGCAAUGCAUUAUAGCAGGAGAAAGCUGCGCUGAUGAAGGUGUGAGAGACACAGGAUAGAGCUGAGGCAUUAGAAAAGACAAAGCUGGAGCACAAUAUUGUCUUUAGCUUGAAGAGAACAAAACUGGGCAAAUGAAGUUGUGAAGGUGUGUGUGUAAUGGCAUUAGUUUAGUCACAAAACAUUAGUGUUUGCUUGCUGUGAGGGAAAAUGCAAUAUCUCUUGCUUUAGUUUGCCCAUUGGUUCUAGAGUAUGCUGAUGUCAAGGGGAAGGCUGCAUAUGUCAUAUAUGGCACCUGUCACAUGCAGAAAACCUGAUGUGGAACAAAAACUGUAACCAGCUGUGCUUUUGUUAACCCAGAGAAAACUUCUUCAACAGCUUCUGGAGUAUUACAAGUAACAUAAAAUAAAUUCCCUGUGUGAUGAUAGAGUCUGUUACUGCUGUAUAAUUCAUAAAAUCCACUCCUGUGAGGCUCAUUAAAGGUGAAUCAAUAGAAAGUUCUCCAGGAAUUUGGAAUGAAGGUCUCUGGUCAAUGAACAUUGUUUUCCCCUAUGGACUCCAAAACUGGUCUUGAAAUGCUGAUUUCUUAACUAAUAAUAUAAAAAAUAAACUUUUUGCCUGCAUGCUUUCUGCUAAAUGUGAAUAACUUAAAUGUUUAGAGCAUCUCGUCUGGGAGGUGACUGUGUGAGCAGGUUUUGCCCAGGGAGCAGAGACUCCCUAGCCUAGCAGGCUCAGCUCCUAAAGGUUUAUAGAAAUGCAAAUUACAUGCUAAAUAACAAAAUGAAAGCAAAAAGAAGUGCUAAACUACUGAAGUGGCUCAGAAUGCUAAUGACAGGCUUCAUUAGUGUAUCCUAUUAUGGACAAUUGCUGCAACUUUGAGCAGAAUAGAUAUGAUGACUCUCACAACAGAGUAAGUGCUGAGUGCUAGGGAAUUAUUUAAUGUUGUUUCCUUCAGAGUCUAUGUUGGACAGAUUCGAUGGGAUGAAACCUUAUAUAUACUUUGAGUGAUAUGGGCAUAUGAAUACGUAUUCUUUCAGUUAAUUUUUUUGAACUUUUAAAGUGCUUUUUAUUUUUUUUUAUUUAUUUUUUUUGAAAGAGAGAAAGGAAGAGAAGAUGCAAGGCCCACCAACAGCAGCUUUGAAACUGAGUGCAUCAUACAUAAAAUAAUAUUCAAAUCAGGAGGCCUAUUUGAUUUAUUUCUGGAGUGUGAUAACUUUCUAUCUCUACUGGGAUAAUAUGAAUAAAAGGAAGUGUUAAAUUCAGUGAUGUUUAAUAAUACCAAAAUAAAAUUCCAGUAGCAAUAAACCCUUCCUCCAGCCCUCAAAUGUGAUUCUGUGGUAUCAUAGGUUUUACACAGUUGUUUAAUAAUUUGAUAAAAUAUUUCGCUAUUAAAAUUGUAUCUCAUACUUUGUGUAGGUCACAGAUAUGGGAUGUGUGCAUAUGUAUAUAAUCAUCUAGUAAUUUUGAAAUUUUUUCUGGUAAUGAUCACUGUUGUAUUCGAAGCCCAGAAGGUCAUCAAACAUAUGGGAUAUGCUGCCUUUUCUAAUAGAAAAGAAUCAGCACAAAUGCGUUUAUGCCCCUGAAACGAGACUGAUUUGUUUCA